AUUGAACGCUGGCGGCAUGCCUUACACAUGCAAGUCGAACGGUAACAGGUUAAGCUGACGAGUGGCGAACGGGUGAGUAAUGUAUCGGAACGUGCCCAGUCGUGGGGGAUAACUGCUCGAAAGAGCAGCUAAUACCGCAUACGACCUGAGGGUGAAAGCGGGGGAUCGCAAGACCUCGCGCGAUUGGAGCGGCCGAUGUCAGAUUAGGUAGUUGGUGAGGUAAAGGCUCACCAAGCCGACGAUCUGUAGCUGGUCUGAGAGGACGACCAGCCACACUGGGACUGAGACACGGCCCAGACUCCUACGGGAGGCAGCAGUGGGGAAUUUUGGACAAUGGGCGCAAGCCUGAUCCAGCCAUGCCGCGUGCGGGAAGAAGGCCUUCGGGUUGUAAACCGCUUUUGUCAGGGAAGAAAAGGUUCUGGCUAAUACCUGGGACUCAUGACGGUACCUGAAGAAUAAGCACCGGCUAACUACGUGCCAGCCGCCGCGGUAAGAC
rnacentral:rRNA from 1 species